rnacentral:lncRNA from 1 species
UUUUUUUUUUUUUUUUGUAGGUAAAGAGUUAUUUAGACUGCUCAUUUGGUUUGGAAAUCAAAUACUCUUUAGGAGAAUUUGAACUAUCUCUGCUUGGCAAUAAAACCUAAACUUUAUGCAUCACUUUUAGGCAUCUGUGUAUUCUAGGUUAUGAGUUUUUACCUUAAAAGAAUAGAAAUAUUAAUAUUUUAGAUUUGUGUAUCAUUAUGUAGCCCUCAAAACCUUCUUGUACCCUUUUUUUUAUUAGAUAUUUUCUUUAUUUGCAUUCCAAAUUCCUCUUGUACCCUUAUUUUGGCACAUUUUUAUGUGUUGUGGUGCUGUGUGUGUAGAUGCUGGAGGACAACUUGGCUGUGGUUCCUCGGCACUGACUACCUCUUUUUUAGACAGAGACUCACUGGCCUGGAACUCACCAAGUAAGUGACCCUGGCUGGCCAGCGAGCCCCAAGAAUCUGCUUGUCUUUGCCUCUCACGUGCUGGGAUUAAAAACUUGGGCCACCAAGAUGGCUCUCUUUACAUGAAUUCUGGAGACUGAAUUGAAAUCAAACUCAGGCAAGCAUAUUUGCCUAUAGUGCCAGAGGCUCUAAGUUCAGCUCCCAGCAUCACGGCUUAAAUAAUAAUACCACCACCUUGCUUUUUGUGAAAUUAAGAUAAUAAUGCCGACUUGGUGGAUUAUUGUACCUGGCCCAGGACGGUGGCUCAGCAAGUAAGGAUGCUUGCUGUCAAGGGUGGGCCUCAGUGUGAUCCUCAGAGCCCACGUAGGAGGAGAGAACUGGCUCCCACACUGUCCUCUGACCACCUCCCCACCCCCACAUGAAAUAUAUGUAGUAAAACAUCUUUUAAAAGAUACUUGCAUACACUAAUAGAAAUAACCUGUGGGCUUGCAAUACGCAUUAGCACAUCACCUCUUCAGAGAAAUCAGGGAACACUUUCUUUUCCCUGGAAAGAAAGACUAGCUUUGCAAAACAAGCUAUUAUGUUGGCCUUUCUUGCUCUCGACAAGCAGUUUCUCCUCCCCUUUCCUGUCCUCUCCUCCUCUUCCCUCCCUUCCCUCUCUACUCCUCUCCUCUUUUUUCUUUCUCUUCUCACUGUCAAAUCAUAUCCCCACCCAAAUCUAUAGCAGGCACCUAGUGUAGCAUUCCUUGGGUUCCUUUCAGAAAUCAGAAUCGAUAAGAGAGUUUUACUCUAUUUGGUUAAAUCUUUGUUUGGCAUGUAAUAAGGUCACUGUGAUUCUGGGACCUCAGUGAUAAAUUCUCCCUUGUGAUCACACCUUCCAGGAAACAUUUUUUUUUUAAUUGUGUAGAGAGUUUGUAUGUGUGUGUGUGUGUAUGUGCACAUCAAUGUAUUGGGUGUGCGUACUCAACAUAUGUGCAUAUGUACACCCACCGUGUGUAUAGAAGGAGAAGUUAGAGAAGGAUAUUGGAUAGCUUUUAUUGCUGUCUGCCUGUUGCUUUAAGACAGGGUCUUUCCCUGACCCAGAAGCAUGGAAGCUCGCCAUCUCCACUAGGCUGGCCGGCCAGUGAGCUCCUAGGAGCUGACUCCACACCAGAGUGCCUGGGUAAUAGUGCACCCGGCCACGCCCAGCAUUUUACUUUGGUACUGAGAAUUCCACCUUAUCUCCCCCCACCAUACUUCAAAACAAGGACUCUUGACCGUGGAGCCCUCUCUCCAGCCAAAACAUGCCUUGCCUUGUCUCUUCUUCUUAAGUAAAAAGUGAAUGGGAUCACUCAGUACUAAAUAAGCUUCCGUCUUGAGAUAAAACUAGAUACUGAAUGUAGAAACCAGCAUAGAAAAUAUGCAAACUCAGUCAUGGUGGUGCAUUUGGGGAACUAAGGCAGCCAGGACAGCCUGAGCUGCAUUGUGAGACUCUGUGUAUAAAUAAAUAUACAAAUAAAUUUUAAGGAAAUAAUUGAGAAUAAAAAAAAAAAAAGAAAGUUGAUUUCCUUGGUGAUAGAGCUAAAUCUAGUGUCCCCUGCCUGGCUAACCCAAGGGCAGAGUGUAGGUAGCAUGGGGCUUCCUGACCACUUGACAUCAUUCAUGUUUUUUCUUCCUCUCUUUAUAAAUUCCCUCAUUGUUUCGGUGGCUCUGUAGUUAAUUUUUUUCUAAUGAGGUGAGGUUAACUAAAAUCAUCUGACAUAGAAAAGGAGGAGGUAAAGUUAAAAGGGAACCUAAUGAGCAAGUUAAUUAUAUCAGGAAAAAGUGCACUGGUUAUAUAAAUGAGCCAUUGAUGUAUGCAUGCAUGUUGGACCUUACCUAGGGACUUGUUAAGGUCAAAGGAGCUGUGUAAUAAUGUGUUAGGAAAAAAAUAAUAAAGCAAACCAUCCAGGGCUAGGAAUGGCCGCUGAGCUGCUAACAGAGCUGCCUCAUUAUUAAAUCCUGUUGGACGGCUGAAAGGGUUGUUGGAGCUGCUUCAGAGAUAGCCACCUCCCUCAAAAGGG